ACUCUUUUAGGCCGCCCAGUGACCAAGCAAAAUGUGGGGUUGCAAAGUAAAUACAGAUGCUCCGGUUCUGCGGAGCAGCCCUCGGGACUUGAGUUUAGGGGACCAUGGCUCAUCAUUCUUAACAUCCUCGAAGCAGUUGCAAAAAGAUAAAAAGAUGAAGGGGAGCCCAAAGCUUCCGACAGAAUUCAUAACAGAAAAUAACUUGAUUAAAGCCUGACUCUUUAAAAAGGUCAGGGUAUCCUGGCUUACACUGAGGACUAAACUCACCUUCUGAACAAGUCAUCCAAGUCCUGCAAACAAAACAAGAGAAGCUUAGUUACCUAAAGAAACAGAACACAAUGUGGUUUCAUAUAUAUGAGAUUUAUUUAUUCAUUUUACAGAUAUGAGUACACUAUUGCUCUCUUCAGACACACCAGAAGGGGGCAUCAGUGCUCUUAACCAUUGAGCCAUGCCACCAACCCAUUAAGUUUUAUGUCAGUCAGUACUAUACCAGUUCACCUGCAAAUGUAUUUUCCCGUCCCAGGGUAAUGCCAAUGGAGUGGGUUAGCACAAUGGAAUUCUUAAUGAAAUCAGGCUGGGAGAAUACUUGGGAAGCAUAUGGGUAGGAGUUAUACACUGCUUUGGAACACCUCACUGUCUGCAAAGAGGGCUUUCUUUAAUCUUGUACACAAGCAUAGGAAUACUUUCAUUAGGGGUACUUGAAAACUGAGGCCUAACCCCUACAUGGUGCCUCGUAUCUGUAACUCUAGACUUUGGGGUUUAGGUCUCAGGAGUCCUGUGAGUCCGAGGCCAUUGUGCACCACAAAGAACAUGUAUCAAAUCCCCCACAGCCCAAACUCUCAAAAACAUAGCUUUCAGA
rnacentral:lncRNA from 1 species